rnacentral:rRNA from 1 species
UACGGGGGGGGCAAGCGUUGUUCGGAAUUACUGGGCGUAAAGGGCUCGUAGGUGGCCAACUAAGUCAUACGUGAAAUCCCUCGGCUUAACCGGGGAACUGCGUCUGAUACUGGAUGGCUUGAGGUUGGGAGAGGGAUGCGGAAUUCCAGGUGUAGCGGUGAAAUGCGUAGAUAUCUGGAGGAACACCGGUGGCGAAGGCGGCAUCCUGGACCAAUUCUGACACUGAGGAGCGGAAGCCAGGGGAGCAAACGGG